UUUCCGAGAUAAUUAUUAGGAAGGCGUUAACUGCGAGAGAUUCAAUACAACUUUGUUUCCGAAGAAGGUAUUUUUCCCGUUAAAUUUAUUGGGAUCCCAUCUCAAUUCUCAACAAAGUUGGACACAUUUUUUGAAUAACGAACUCAGGAUGUAUCCAGUAAAUAAGUUGUGGAUUCCACAUUAGGAAAACGUCUUCGAGAUUGUGGGAAGAGUAUUUCCAAAACUCGUAGGAAGGCUCCCUUGAAGUUGUUGCGCAUCAAUUAACCAAUAUUAAAUUUUUCUGAGCGAAGACCAUAUUACAUAUUGAUAACGAAUUGGUUAAACCGACCAACAUGUUUUCCCCCCAAACCAAAAAGUCCAAUUUGUCAAUUAUUGAUACAUACCACCAACCAAGAAAAUCUGGUAUACUCCCCACUAAUAUUAUUACUUUCCCGCAGACAAAUACGAAUUAGAGAUGAUAAGAUUCCCCAAGAGUGGGAAGGACACUUCCCACCGUUAAGAUUGUUUUCUGUCGAGAAACAGAAUACUUUUGUGAGCUUAGACAAGGAACCAAGCUCCACAGGAACAGGGGAAUUUUUCCCUCCUAGACUAUGUUCCUACACUGAAAUUAAGGGACAGUGAGGAAUCAAGGUCAGAACCAGAUUAUGUUGGCCGGGAAAUUUAUCACCGGUAAAUGAAUUUUCUGGUGCCAAACAACAGAGAAUUUGGGGGCGAGCAAGUUCUUGUUUAAAAAAAAAAACGGCAAUUUUCUGAGGGGACGGGAUUUCCAUGAACUCCCAACGCUUAAUUGUUACCCAAUUGUAGUUUCCUAAGAAACGUGCCAAGAUUUUCAACGUGAGGAAAAAUGGUAGCCCUGCCAAUUGUGUCGAUCAUCCGGUUUGUCCACACAAGUGGGGACCUCUGGGUGGGCGGGCGACCGCAUGUUUUCACGCCCGUUCCCACUGGCAGAAAGUGAGUAGGACUCUGAUUUGCCACGAGUUCAAGAGACCCAAAAGGGUGCUCGUAAUGUGCGUUUUUCUUUCUGGAAUUUCCUUGCCUUGGAAAAUGAAUGCCGAGCAAGGCUAGUCGGUAUCAGUCUCAUUCCUCCUUCCGUGCUCGAGAAGCCAGCUACAUGAGGAAUGCCUUGAACACCAAUUGCAAAUAGAACCAACGCGCGUGCAAGGUGUGACAAGUGUCGUCUGUGAUGAACGAGAAGAGAGGACACGACUGUAGAAGACCCCAUUUUGGUGAAUAGGAAUUCCCCACUCUGAUUUUUGUGGGUUGCUGGCAGAGUUGAAAUGCUUUCCCUAUUUGGGGUGAGUCUGGUGUGUGACAGAGACUAGCUCGGUGAACACUAUUUUAACUUCUGUUUUGGUUGUUUUUUGUUUUGACAGGAGAGAAACCAGGGUGGGGGGGGGGGGGGACGUUAUGUAGUUUUUGGCCAACCACAGUCAACGCCCUGACACCUCGGGUUGUAAAAAGUCUUUAAUAAUUUUUUUUUGUUUGUGUUUUUUUUGUUUUUUUUUUUGACUUUUUUUUGUUUUGGGGCCGCCUUAUUAUUUUUUUGCGCGGCCGUUUCCCUCCCCUCCUCCCUCUCUUCUCCUCCUGUGUCCCCCCCCUUUCUUCCCCCUGCCCCCCUCUUCUUUUUGUUUUUCCAGUUUACAAAAGCAAUAGUGGGGAAUGAAAAUCUGACUGCGCAACCACCCCAACUGGGUGUCAGUAACAUAAAUCAAAACCUCAAGAAAGUCAUUGUAAUAUUGCGCACUGUCGCAAUCACGGAACUUUGUGUAUUAACACAUACCUGAAACCUCAUGGAGCGGUCCAGUUGUAAUUUUCUCAGGCUAAAAAUAAAGGGUCCGCAACAGUAAAAUACAAAAAGAGUUUGAUUCAGAUUACCUUUUUUCUUCUCGUACUGGACAAAAAUAAUUGUCGCAAAGCAAUUGAUGAUUAUGAUAGUCGUAAAGCAAGCAAUGAUUAUCCUUUGAUUUGCCCAAAAUAAUCAAACAAUUUCUUCAGUAACUGAACCAGUGGAUACAGAUCACACAUUGAUGCUCAUAUCUUAAUUCAAUCAUCACAGAUUCUCUCUCCAGGUAGGGUCGGCAUCGGCCUGGUAGCUCCCACAUCUAAACUCCUAAAUUAAGGGCCAAUUAACUUUGUACCUUGGGGUGGGUUUUUGGUCUAUCGAAUUUUUAAUAAGGAUACUUAUCUUGAUAAUUUUUUCUCCUUUCGCCCCACGGCCGUUGCUAAAGAUAGAUGGGACGGAUAAUAUUUAUUGUUGGAUGAUAAUUUAAAUGGAUUUUUAUGAAAUGCCCCCAGAGGUGGAUAGAGACAGAUAAUUUUUGGGGUGGUCAGAACCCCUAACUUAAAAAAAGUUAUCCGGUGGUAUAAGAAAAAAAAAUAUAUAAAGAAAAAACACAAUGUUAAUAAUUAUAUAUAUAUAUAUAUAUAUAUAUAUAUAUAUAUAUAUAUAGAAAAUAAUAUAUAUAUUUUUAAAUUAUCUAAAUAUUUAUAUUUUUAUUUUGUCUAUAUAUAUUUUCUAUUUUCCCUUAUUCCUCCACCCUUAAUCCACUCAUUCUAGUGUCUAAAAAGUAAUCCAAACAAUUUUUAAAAUUGAAAAUUUAUAAAUAUCCGGGUCCUUCUACCUAAAAAUUUAAAAUUAUUUAUCCCCUCUUUUCUAAAAGUUAUCCCCCUCUCAUAUCGGCUCCAUAAUCUUUCCACCAAACGAGCCCUUAGAAAGGUGUUGACAAUACCCCCUUUUGCACCUCUUACCUUAAUAAUUUUUUAUUUUUCAAAUAUGGACCUUCACAUUGAAAAAUCUUUAUAAUGAGCAAUCUAACGGUCCUUUAUCUUUAUACUGAAAUUUUUUUUUUAUAAUUUUUAAAAAUGAAAUAUUUAGAUUCUCUUGUUUACGUUGAGCACCGAGGACACACUUUAAGUGAAAUUUUAAAUUAUCAUUUGAAUUCUCCUCAUCGGUAAUCAACAACAAUCCCAAUUCUUUGAACCUCCAAUUCCAACCUGUGGCAAACCAUGUAAGCCACAACAUAAGAUGUAAUUUUAAAAAGUUUCAAGACCACUACAACUACCCCAAAAUCUAAGACCCAUAGCUCAAAACCUCCCAAAACCCACUAGGGAUGGCAAUUUUGCCCCGCCCAUAACAAACCCCCGCCCCCGAUUGAGGUAAAGUUUUUUUCGGUGGAUCGGGACGGGGCAAAAAAAAUCGGGGAUUAAAAAAAAAAAAUUCGGCGGGAGCGGGCGGGAACGGUUUUGUAUACCCCCGCCCCGAUCCCCAAAAAUUUAAAACACCCGAAAAUAUUAAAAGUAAAAAAAUAAAUACGAAAAAUAAAUAAUUUAAAAAAAAAAUCAAAGUGAAGGGGGUGCAAAUUAUAGGGUCAAGUUGGGCCUUUUUUGCCGGCCAACGGCAGCGGCACCGGGCUACACAACGCAACGAAAAAAACUCGACGUCGUGGCUCAAGGGAGCCAUAGGGAGGCGCGGCACGAUUUUUGGGCAGCGGUCAUAAGUGGGCCAAUUGGCAGGUCGGCAACGCGCGUGCGGCAGGGUCUGAAGCGGCACGGGCCCACUGGGGCAUGAGGGCACGGAAAUGGUGAGCACCACGGCAACGGGCAAACGGCCACGAUAGUUGGCCUGAACGGUGCACGACACCACUCGGCACAGGUCAAACCAGAAACAGCAUCGGCACGGGCCCCAAUGACCAACGAUGUUUUGAGCGUUGGUUUGGCACGGCAUGCCCACCGGCCACGACAACAGACUUAUGUCUAAUCAGCAUUGCACGGCACAAUGAGAAAACGGAUAAUGUCCAAGCACGGCAGGUCUACGGGCACCGAUACGGAAGGUGGCAAUAAAAAAUGAUUAAUUAUAAAAUAAAUUAAAAACUAAAAAAUUUUAAUUAUAUAAAUUGACUUGCCAUAAUAAAAAAUAAAAAAAAGUAAAAAAAGUAACAAUAAAUAAAUUUUUGACGGGAUUGUGUCAAUGGGCUAUGGCCAUAAAUAAAUAAAUAAUAAAAAAUAUAUUUUUUUUAUUAAAUAAAUUUAACUUUUAAAUGAAAUGCCAUAGUCUGAAAAAAAUUUGAAAAAAAUUUAAAUAAAAUUAUGAAAUAACAAAAUAAAAAAAUUUAAAAAAAUUAAAAAUUAAAUUUUUGAAAACAAAAUGUCACAAUAAAUUUUUAAAAUUUUUGACUUAAUUGCCAGGAUAUUAUACCAUAAGAAGACAAAAAUAAAAGUUUAAAAAAUAAAAUUUAUUUUAUUUUUCAAAAUGGAGAAAAAAAAUCAAAACAAAAAUAAAAUUUUUUAUUAAUAAAAAUUUAAUUUUAAUAAUUUUGAAUUGAUUAGGGGGUCCAAAAUUGAAUUUUUUAACUUACAUAAUUAUGUAUAAAAAAUUUGUUUUAUAAUUUAUAUAGUGUUAUCCCCACACCAUCGCAAACAUAAUUAUGCAAUCCACAACACACCGUUUUCAACGUUUGUUUUGUAUUGAUAUUUAUUAAAAUCACUCUUGCCCAAAUUUGAAGAUCUAUCAGAUAUUUGAACGCAAGCCCUUUCAAUCCCGUACAAAGUGAUUCAUUUAUUCAUUAUCAACCGAUUAAGUUGUCGUCACAUUCGAAUCAAGUACGUACGAAUAAUUUUAAAUUAUUUUUCUAUUUUUUUUGCAUAGAGGAAUAUAAUAUCUCACUCCUCCUUUAUAAUUUUAGGAGACGGUUUCCGAUUCGAAAAAAAAACUAUUGUAUGUGAUGGCCUUCAAUCAAUGCAAUUUAUAGGAAUUAUUGCUCCAAUAGAUGCACAAACGAAUGUAACCCUAUCAGGUGGGUGCCGACAUUGCUCGACGACCAGCCGCCCGUUUUUUUUUCCCGCCCCUUCUCGCCCCUUGCCUCGCCUCUGCCCCCUCGUACGGUUUUCGCUCCAACCUUCCCCCGGCCCCUCGCGUCUGUCCCGUGUCUUUUCCAUCCUCUCCCUCCCACCUUUCCCUUGGUUUCCGCCCCACCUUUCAUUGUGCUCCCCGCCUCCGGUCC
rnacentral:lncRNA from 1 species